GAGCGGAACGGAGCGGAGAAGUAUUUUGACCGAUUGGUCAAUCUGAUUAACUUUUCAUUAAUUUCACUUCGUUUUGCACAGCUUCGCUAUAGGUAAGUACGCGCCGGGCCGCGCAGCCGCUAUCAAAUUCUUAUAGAAAAUUUUGACGGUCCGACCCUAAGUACUCUCCUUUGCCCCGCUCCGUUCCGCCUUGGUGGAAACCGGGCCUUAGGAACGUACAUAAUGUUCCUUAUCUCCUAAGCUAAUGGAUAGACCCACUUCUAUCUUAAAUAAUUAGGCUUUCCUUUCCAAACACAGUUUUAAAAGGCACAUUACCGCUUAGUUGUCUGGUCUUAACAGAGGUUACCUAUAGCCCUACUCGUUACAAAAAUAAUAGUUUAAAUAUCGCUAUAGGAACUAUACACCUACUUACGAAAUUGAUGCCUGUUCAGUUUUUUUUACAAUCACGGGUUAGAAUAUGACGCUGAUAUUAUUUUUGGUUUUUAUUAUAACAUUCUUUCUUCCCGACUUGAGGCCUGUUUACAGCGAAGAAGGAGAAGAAUGGCAACUGCAGGAUGUCAACACUGAAAUCCCUGUGUCCACCAUGGGUUUGAAAUCGAGAUCAGAAUCUUUCCCAUACCAAUACCAUGACUUCGAUUUCUGCCAAUCCGCGGAGACUGCAUCUUCCAUUGGGUCUUAUCAGGAUGGGCUAUUCGGACCUCGUAGUCCGUAUUUGAUUAACUUUCUCGAAAAUAAAGACUGUACACUUUUAUGUAAAAAGUCAUAUAGCCGUACUAUAAAACAGAAGCUCGAAGACUUGAAAAAUGCGAUAGCUUCGGAUUACGAACAUCGUUGGUUCGUUGAUGAAAGACCCGUAAAGUGGUGCUUUAUGGUCAUUGGCCAUGGCUUACAUUGCCGCAACAGUUUUCCUGUGGGGUGCUAUGUAACUCCGACUAAGAACACAUGUCGACAAAUACUGAAGAGUCCCAAAAAAUACGCCUAUUAUUUAUUCAAUCACGUCGACUUGCAAUUCAUAUACCGCAGCGAAGAUACUGAAAAAGGAGACGCAGGAGCCAAUCAAGGACAGAUUGUACUUGUCAAGGCUACACCAGCUAGCAUAGACCACCGCCUCCAUCCUCAUCGUUCUUCACUCAGUUGUGACGGGUACACCACUCCGCUUGUACUACCUUCAAUUACAUAUGACGGCAACUUAACCAUUUCGUAUACUUACAGCGUAAGUUUUUAUAA